rnacentral:rRNA from 1 species
UACGUAGGGUGCGAGCGUUAAUCGGAAUUACUGGGCGUAAAGCGUGCGCAGGCGGUUUGUUAAGACAGAUGUGAAAUCCCCGGGCUUAACCUGGGAACUGCAUUUGUGACUGGCAAGCUAGAGUAUGGCAGAGGGGGGGUAGAAUUCCACGUGUAGCAGUGAAAUGCGUAGAGAUGUGGAGGAAUACCGAUGGCGAAGGCAGCCCCCUGGGCCAAUACUGACGCUCAUGCA